rfam:Oryctolagus cuniculus unplaced genomic scaffold chrTn0108, whole genome shotgun sequence.
GUGGGUAUAGCUCAGGGGUAGAGCAUUUGACUGUAAAUCAAAUGUCCCCAGUUCAAAUCUGGGUGUCCCCU